UCUCGUGGUUUCCAAUGUAGCUUUUCAUCAUUCAAUCUAAGGUUGUCGAAACGUUACACAAAAUUUCUCAUCUGCUCGCAUUUAUUAUGUGAUUAUUACUAUUAGCACUUGUUUAUCCUUUUGUUUCAGGCACACACAGACCAUCAAGUCAUCUUUCUAGUCUUCUGAUAACUAUGGCGUAUUAUAGAGAUGAUCAAUAUGCAACCUUUGAACAGUUUUAUCGUUGUUACCCUUUUUCCUUCAUUGAGAAGCCAGAUCUGGAAAAAGGUGAUAAAAGUAUGUACCAACAGCUUACAUUUUACUUCUUUGAUUCAAAACAUUUAUGAAACUUUGAUAUCUUGUUUUUGCCUAUAGAAUUUCUUAUGACAAUUUUUGUUGCCUUUAGUUAUCAUGACAAAUCUUCCAUACUAAUGUGAAGCAAUGGAAGUAACAGCUGCUCCAGUGCCUUAUGUCCAAGAAAUUGCAAAGGCAUUGACCAUAGUGCCUGAGCGUUAUGUUCGACCAGUUCAUGAACAUCCUAUAUUAUCUAACUCUACACCUUUACCUGAAAUUCCUGUCAUUGACUUGAGCAAAUUGUUGUCUCAAGACCAUAAGGAGCAUGAACUCGAGAGGCUUCACUAUGCAUGCAAAGAAUGGGGUUUCUUUCAGGUUUGUCAUAAAUAAAUAGAACAUGGCUAGAUAAAAUUUUGUACUACUAUAUUGGAUAUAGACAUAAUAUGUGUUACUUUUUAGUUUAUAUAGGUCAA